rnacentral:misc_RNA from 1 species
UUGAAUAAAUUUGGUUAGGUUGCUGCUGGCUCCUGUUGGAGCAUUGUGCACACCGACUCCAUUUUCAAACCCCUGUGCACCUACUGUAGGCCUGAAAACUUUUCAAGUUGCAACUGCACUUGGUUAGAGAAUUGCUGUGCGCAAGCCGGCUUUCCUCGUACUCAGGUCUAUGUUUCACAUGAACUCCAUUAGAAUGUAUCAGAACGUUUUGAAAAGGGCCCUUGUGCCUUUAAAACAAUA